CCUACGGGAGGCAGCAGUGGGGAAUAUUUCACAAUGGGGGAAACCCUGAUGCAGCAACGCCGCGUGAGCGAUGAAGGCCUUCGGGUCGUAAAGCUCUGUCCUAAGGGAAGAAUACUGACGGUACCUUAGGAGGAAGCCCCGGCUAACUACGUGCCAGCAGCCGCGGUAAUACGUAGGGGGCUAGCGUUAUCCGGAAUUACUGGGCGUAAAGGGUGCGUAGGCGGCCCUUCAAGUCAGAGGUGAAAGGCUACGGCUCAACCGUAGUAAGCCUUUGAAACUGUAGGGCUUGAGUGCAGGAGAGGAGAGUUGAAUUCCCGGUUUAGCGGUGAAUUGCGUAGAUAUUUGGAGUAACUGCAGUUGCGAAGGCUGCUCUCUUGACUGUUACUGACGCUGAGGCACGAAAGCGUGGGGAGCGAACAGGAAUAGAUACCCCAGUAGUC
rnacentral:rRNA from 1 species